AUGAGCAUACGUGAAGUUCAAAAGUUCUGGUUCAGGGAAGUAGACAUCCUGCAGUUUUUGGGAAUUAGUAGUUCACCUUUGCUAAGUGUAGCAAGUUCUCUAGUUGCAAAAAUUAAUUCACUUUGCAAAAACUCUGGAGGUCAACAAUUUCUUUUGUUUGUUGUAGAUGGAGAUGUGUGUAUGUAUACAUGUGUUUUGGAGAUAGGAGAACUUAUCUGGUGGUGUGUGUGUGUUGCUGCAUCCUCUUCCGGCCACUCUAAUUCACACCCUCAAUACAACUUUUGUAUGCCCUCGUGUUCACAAAUCUUGUAG
rnacentral:rRNA from 1 species